ensembl:snRNA U6 U6 spliceosomal RNA
GUGCUCAUUUCAGCAGCACCUGUACUAAAACCAGAAUGAUAUAGAGAAGGCUAGCAAGGCCCUGUCCAAGGAUUUAGUUAUAUACUGUGUAAAACUUAAUUCUUAA